rnacentral:rRNA from 1 species
GACGAACGCUGGCGGCGUGCUUAACACAUGCAAGUCGAACGAUGAGGCCGGAGCUUGCUCUGGUGAAUUAGUGGCGAACGGGUGAGUAACACGUGAGUAACCUGCCCUUGACUCUGGGAUAACUGCUAGAAAUGGUAGCUAAUACCGGAUACGACCCUCGGAGGCAUCUUCAGGGGGUGGAAAGAAUUUCGGUCAAGGAUGGACUCGCGGCCUAUCAGCUAGUUGGUGAGGGAAUGGCUCACCAAGGCGACGACGGGUAGCCGGCCUGAGAGGGUGACCGGCCACACUGGGACUGAGACACGGCCCAGACUCCUACGGGAGGCAGCAGUGGGGAAUAUUGCACAAUGGGCGCAAGCCUGAUGCAGCAACGCCGCGUGAGGGAUGACGGCCUUCGGGUUGUAAACCUCUUUCAGCAUCGACGAAGCGAAAGUGACGGUAGGUGCAGAAGAAGGACCGGCCAACUACGUGCCAGCCGCCGCCGUAA